rnacentral:rRNA from 1 species
GAGUUUGAUCCUGGCUCAGGAUGAACGCUGGCGGCGUGCUUAACACAUGCAAGUCGAGCGAUGAAGUUUCCUUCGGGAAACGGAUUAGCGGCGGACGGGUGAGUAACACGUGGGUAACCUGCCUCAUAGAGUGGAAUAGCCUUCCGAAAGGAAGAUUAAUACCGCAUAACGUUGAAAGAUGGCAUCAUCAUUUAACCAAAGGAGCAAUCCGCUAUGAGAUGGACCCGCGGCGCAUUAGCUAGUUGGUGGGGUAACGGCCUACCAAGGCGACGAUGCGUAGCCGACCUGAGAGGGUGAUCGGCCACAUUGGGACUGAGACACGGCCCAGACUCCUACGGGAGGCAGCAGUGGGGAAUAUUGCACAAUGGGGGAAACCCUGAUGCAGCAACGCCGCGUGAGUGAUGAAGGUUUUCGGAUCGUAAAGCUCUGUCUUUGGGGUAGAUAAUGACGGUACCCAAGGAGGAAGCCACGGCUAACUACGUGCCAGCAGCCGCGGUAAUACGUAGGUGGCAAGCGUUAUCCGGAUUUACUGGGCGUAAAGGGAGCGUAGGCGGAUGAUUAAGUGGGAUGUGAAAUACCCGGGCUCAACUUGGGUGCUGCAUUCCAAACUGGUUAUCUAGAGUGCAGGAGAGGAGAGUGGAAUUCCUAGUGUAGCGGUGAAAUGCGUAGA